rnacentral:rRNA from 1 species
UCCUUUGAACAAAUUUGAGUGCUCAAAUCAGGCCCAUGUUGCCUGAAAAGUUUUGCAUGGAAUAAUGGAAUAGGACUUCGGUUCUAUUUCGUUGGUUUUCGGAUCCGAAGUAAUGAUCAAAAGAGACAGGCGGGGACGUUUGUAUGGCUGCGCUAGAGGUGAAAUUCAUGGACCGUAGCCAGACAGACUAAAGCGAAAGCAUUCGUCAAGCAUGUUUUCAUUGGCCAUGAGCGAAAGUCAGAGGCUCGAAGACGAUCAGAUACCGUCCUAGUUCUGACCAUAAACGAUGCCAACUGACGAUCCGUGGUGGUAGUUGAUAAACCUUCCCCACGGGCAGUCCCCGGGAAACCUUUAAGUCUUUGGGUUCCGGGGGAAGUAUGGUUGCAAAGCUGAAACUUAAAGGAAUUGACGGAAGGGCACCACCAGGAGUGGAGCCUGCGGCUUAAUUUGACUCAACACGGGAAAACUCACCCGGGCCGGACACUAUGAGGAUUGACAGAUUGAUAGCUCUUUCUUGAUUUGGUGGUUGGUGGUGCAUGGCCGUUCUUAGUUGGUGGAGCGAUUUGUCUGGUUAAUUCCGAUAACGAACGAGACUCCAGCCUGCUAA